rnacentral:rRNA from 1 species
AUUGAACGCUGGCGGCAGGCCUAACACAUGCAAGUCGAACGAGUGGCAGACGGGUGAGUAAUGUCUGGGAAACUGCCUGAUGGAGGGGGAUAACUACUGGAAACGGUAGCUAAUACCGCAUACCAUCAGAUGUGGCCAGAUGGGAUUAGCUAGUAGGUGGGGUAACGGCUCACCUAGGAGACGAUCCCUAGAUGGUCUGAGAGGAUGACCAGCCAAACUGGAACUGAGACACGGUCCAGACUCCUACGGGAGGCAGCAGUUGGGAAUAUUGCACAAUGGGCGCAAGCCUGAUGCAGCCAUGCCGCGUGUAUGAAGAAGGCCUUCGGGUUGUAAAGUACUUUCAGCGGGGAGGCGUUACCCGCAGAAGAAGCACCGGCUAACUCCGUGCCAGCAGCCGAGGUAAGAC